rnacentral:rRNA from 1 species
AGCAUAAUCAUUUGCCUUUUAAUUCGAGGCUCGUAUGAACGGACAAACGAAAAUAAAACUGUCUCAUUUAUACAAAUAAAAAUUAAUCUUUUUGUGAAAAAGCAAAAAUACAAAUAAAGGACAAAAAGACCCUAUUGAACUUCAUUAAUAUAUAAAUAAAUAUUUUUACAGCGUAGUAGCUAUUAUAUUUAUAUUGUAAUUUGGUUGGGGCGACUUAGGUGCAUUAAAAACCACCUAUUAUAUAUUAAGCUUAUACGCUACCCCAGUGACCCAUUUUCAUGAACAAAAGAAUAGUUACCUUAGGGAUAACAGACUAAUUUUCCUUAAGAGCCCAUAUUGACAGGAAAGUUUGGCACCUCGAUGUUGGCUUAGGUGCCCCUAAAAGUGCAGACGCUUUUAAUGGUAGGCUUGUUCAUCCUUUAAAUA